UCCGUGGUGCAGUUGGUAGCACUGUUUCCUUGCAGUGAGAAGGUUCCGGGUUCGACUCCUGGCAGCGGAA